rnacentral:rRNA from 1 species
GGGUAGUGCAGCAAUACAUGAGACCGGCGCACGGGUGCGUAACGCGUAUGAAAGGUGUCCAAAUCUCUGGGAUAGCCCUCGGAAACGGGGAUUAAUACCGGAUGGCCCGUUAGGAUGGCAUCAUUUUAACGGUAAAGCUCAGGCGGAUUUGGGUCCUCAUGCGUACGAUUAGCUAGUUGGCGGGGUAACGGCCCACCAAGGCGACGAUCGUUAGGGGUCCUGAGAGGGAGAUCCCCCACACUGGUACUGAGACACGGGCCAGACUCCUACGGGAGGCUGCAGUCGAGAAUCUUCGGCAAUGGGCGCAAGCCUGACCGAGCGACGCCGCGUGGAGGAUGAAGGCCUUCGGGUUGUAAACUCCUGUCGAGGGGGAGGAAGGCGCAAGCUUGACCUAUCCCUGGAGGAAGCACGGGCUAAGUUCGUGCCAGCAGCUGCGGUAAGACGAACCGUGCGAACGUUAUUCGGAAUCACUGGGCUUAAAGCGCGUGUAGGCGGAUGGGGACGUCGGUUGCUGAAAGCCCCCGGCUCAACCGGGGAACGGGCACCGAAACGCCCCGUCUGGAGGGACGUAGGGGGACCUGGAACUUCCGGUGGAGCGGUGAAAUGCGUUGAGAUCGGAAGGAACGCCCGUGGCGAAAGCGAGGUCCUGGACGUUUUCUGACGCUGAGACGCGGAAGCUAGGGGAGCGAACGGGAUUAGAUACCCCGGUAGUCCUAGCUGUAAACGAUGGGCACUGGGUAGGGGGCUCGCCGAUGGGCUCCCUGCCGUAGGGAAACCGUGAAGUGCCCCGCCUGGGGAGUA